UCACCCCUUUAGGAAAUUUGAUUGUCCAAAUAAAAUUAACUUUGCUUAGCUCAAGCCCUUUUGCUAUCUCUUCAAUUUCUUGCUUUGACAAGAAGCUUUCACUUCCAAAUGAUACAUAAACACAUGAUAAUUGAUCCUUCUUGUCUAGCCAAGAUUGAAUUGUCCCCCAAUCCUCCUCCUCAUCUAUCAUCGCCUCGCGAAUUAAUGGUCCAAUUGGUAUCAACUCUUUCUUUCCUAUUGUAGAAACAUAAUCUAUAUACUUCCCCUCAGUCUCCCUACAAGUGUUCAACAAAACAAUGUUGUGAGAUUGUUCAAAAGACUCAAGGAUUAUGUAUGCAAAAGCUUUCUCAUCGCGUGGUUUUAUUGGUUGUAUGCCUAAUUUCUUGAUCUCAUGGUCAUGAAGGUAUAUGGAAGAAAAUGGAAAAGAUGUAAGGCUUGAACUCCCAUGAAGAAAUUGGUGGUAAAUGUAGGCAAGACCAGAAGUUGAAGAAACAUAAAACAUAAUAGCAUGAAUACUGUAUGAUGAAGCCAUAGUUGCUACCCAUGGUUGGAACCCAUCAUAUAUAAUCAAGUUAGGUUUUAGGGUUUCAAUUAUGCUUGGAAAUUUGGAAGAAGCCAUUUGAAAGGCUUGAAUAAGGUUUAGGUACCAUCUUUAACAACUACCUCCAAAAUUAUAAACCUUUUUCUUUCUCUUUCAAAUUUAAUGACAUUAUCAAUAAUUACUUUAUUCUUACUAUUUUUUUUGAUCCACCUUGUGGUGACAUAGGGUUUGACAUAGAUCCCUAUUAUAUUUUUUGCAACUUUUUUUUGAAAUAUAUUCAAAACUUUAAUUUAAUUGAAAUUGUUAUAACAAAUCUGAACUUUGGAAAGAAUUUGUUACUUCAUGUAUUAUUUAAUAGUGUAUUUUAAAGGUAUAUAUGUGAACACGUGGACAUCAUAGAUAUUACAUCAUUAUAAAUAGUAAAGUGUCCAUGUGAGCAUAUAUAUUCCUUUAAAAUACACUAUUAAAUAGUGCAGACGGAUAAUAAGUCAUGAUCAGAAUUUGAGAUUGUUACAGCAAUUUCGGUCAAAGUUAGGUAAUAUUUCGAACCCUUUUCCCUAUUUUCAUACUAUUAAAUAGUUAAACUAUCAUUAAAAAGAUCUAAUAUCAUGUUAAAUCAAUAUUUUGAAUCUAACUCACGCUCUUAAAAAUCGGUUGUAGAGAGAAGAAUUACGCAAGCCUCGUAAGAAGUCGAGCUCUCACUAACCAUCAAAACUUUUAUUAUUCUUUAACAUUAUCGACCCAAAAAUCAAUAUAGUUAAAUAAUUUAUAUUUAUAAUUGUGAUUUCAACAAUAACUUUGUCCAAGGUUGAACAUUUUUAUUAUUAUUAUUUUAUAAAGGGUAAUAUGGACUUUAUUAUUAUUAUUCAUAUAUAAGAAAGUGAAAUAUUACUAAUUUAAUUGUGCAGGCGGCAUACGAAGUAUUCAAGAAAAAUAUAGAGAAAGCCAGUAGCGUUGAAGGGUCCGUCAGAAUGGAUCGACCUCCAUAUAUUGAGGUUUCUCCGUUCACUUUUAUUUAUCUCGUUUAUCGAUACUAUUAAAAAUAGAAAUUUUAAAAAAUACGAUUUUUUAAAAUCUCAAUUCACUAGAAAAAAAUGCAUGGGGAUAAAUAAAUUCUUAAAAGACUAUAAAUAGCCGCUAGAUAUAAUAUUUUUUUUUAUUGAUUCAAUUAAAAUAUAUGCGGAAAUAGUCACUACAUAUUUUUAGUAUAAAAUUUAAAUAACAAAUAGUACUUCCUCUGUUCAGUUUUAUUUGUCAUGUUGUGCUUUUCGUAGGUCAAUUUGACUUAUUUUCAAAGUUAAAUUAGAUUAUAUUUAUUCAAUUUUAAACAAAAAAUUUAGAAUUCAAAAACUAUACGAAAAGUACUAUAGUUGCAAUUUUUUUACAUAUCAAUAUGAUGAAAAAAUAUAUCUUAAAUGUUAGUUAAAGUUUGUAUAAUUUGACUCUAAAAAUGAAAAAUAUGACAAUUAAUAGUGGACACAUAGAGUAAUUUUUUAGACGUAAUACGAGAGUCAAACUGUAUAGACUUUAACCAAUAUUUUAAGAUAUUCAUUUUCAUCAUAUUAAUAAGACGAAGAUUGAAACUUAUAGAAUUUUUUUUUUCCAUUUAAAUUUUUUGAUUUGUUAGCACAAAUGAGAAAAUUUUAGGGUUACAAAAUGUAAUUAAGGUGAGAUUAAGAAUAAUAAUCAAAUAUUUAUGAGGUGCAGGUGAUACAUGAUAAUAAGGAAAGCAAAUUGCCACAAUUAGUUUAUAUGUCACGUGAGAGGAGACCAUCGAGCCCUCAUCGUUUCAAGGCUGGAGCCUUAAAUGCUCUCGUAAGUAAUAUUAUUCUGCACGAAGUAUCUCACGUUCACAUAAUAUUCGAUUAUUAAAAUUGAAAUUUGGAAGAAAACUUUUAAUAGCAUAAUUGGUUGAGUUUACAUUUCAUCAACUUUAACACUAGUUUUCUAGUAUCAAGAUUAAUCACAAAUAGUUAUAUAAAAAAAAAGUCUAGGAAAUUAAAAUGAAAUAUAUUUUUUAUAUUAUCAGAUCAUCUAAGAAAGUCAAUCAGAUAUAUAAAGUUUGAUAAGCUGCAAAACAUACUAACAAUGUAAUGACAGAGAUCUUUUAAUCAAAGGUUUUGAUUUUGAAUCAGCCUUGGUCGGGGCACCUUUCCUGUUAAAACGAGACAUACAUAACAUGAAUUUAAAUUAUUUUAGUCAGUAUAUACGUUCGGGAUAACACAUAAAGUAGUUACUAACCUAGCUACUUUCCUAUAUUUAAAAAUCACGAACAAUCACUACUAGAAAUCGAUCAAUUUUUUGAACAAUCACUUAUGGUUAUUAUUAUUUUGUGGUCAUGACAUGCAGCUUAGGGUUUCAGGGGUAAUGAGCAAUGCACCAUAUAUGCUUGUUUUGGAUUGUGACAUGUAUUGCAAUGACCCUUCUUCAGCCAAGCAAGCAAUGUGUUUUCAUCUUGAUCAUAAUAUUUCUACUACUCUUUCCUAUGUACAAUUCCCUCAAACAUUUUAUAAUGUUAGUAAAAAUGACAUCUAUGAUGCUCAAUCAAGAUCAGCAUAUCAGGUACCUACACGUCCUCUCACUACAACAAACAAAAAUGAUCAUUAGCGGCAUUUAAUAUGUAUUUUUAGCGCCAAUUGUCAUUCUUUGUAUAUGUCCCUAGCCUUUAGCAACAUUGGUUCUAAUGACACUUAACUAAUGCCGAUAAAGACUUUAGCACUCUUUAUUAGUGUCAAUAUUUAAUGCCGUUAAAAAUUGCUUUUGUUGCGGUGUCUUAAUAUAUGUUGCAAUAAUUGUAUUCUAUAUAUUUCUAUUUUUUCCACUUCAUUACAUAUGUACAAUUUUCGGGCGUCUACACGGUCGGGUCGGGCCAAACCUGAUAUACAUAUGUAUUUGUAUAUCUGGAGAGCGAGAUUGGAGAUGGGGGUGAGCGAGAUUGGGAGAGGAAGGAGAGAGGGAGAGAGUGGAGAGAGUUGAAUUGUAUAUGUAUAUCUAUCAUAUAAUUGUAUAUAUGUAAAUGGUAUACAUACGUAUUUGUAAAUCUGGCAAGUGAUAUUGAAGAGGGAGGAGAGAGGCGAGCGAGAGAGACUAACUGUUUAUGUAUAUGUAUAUAAAAGAGGAGAGAGACGAGAGAGGAAGAGAGAAGAGAGGCGACGUAAUUACAACUAAAUUUAAGUUGUGAGACGUAAUUAAGUCAAACUAUAGCUAUGUUAACUCAUUAAGUAGUAUAUGUUUGCUUAUCCGUGUAAUAGAUGAUCUGAUUGUAUAAAUAUUUUUGAAAUCAUCAGUACAUACUCCUUAAAAUCUCAUUUCUCUCUCUCUUUUUUUUUUUCUUUUAAUUAUAGAAUAAGUAUCAAGGGAUGGAUGGAGUAGGAGGGACUGUUUGUGCAGGCACAGGCUAUUAUUUGAAGAAAGAAGCAUUAUAUAGUACUCCAAUUAACCAAGAUAAUAUGACUACACUUUUUCAAAAAGCUCAAUUAGAAUACAAGUGGGAAUCUCAAUUGUAUCAAUCAGGUUUAUCUUAUUAAUUUACACAUAAUUGUGUAGUUUAUUUUGUUUAAGCAUAUAAUUCUAUGAACAUUUUAUAUAUUUAUUAAUUAAAAAUAUGUAUAUUUGGUUUAUAGAGGAGUCACUUCAAGAGGCAGAAGAAAAGUUUGGUGCUUCUAGAAAGUUCAUUAACUCUUUGAAUCAUCAAAGAAAUGGAAGGGAAAAUGUUCUAUGUGAUGAGAUGAUUGAUGAAGCUAAAGCUCUUGCUUCUUGCACUUUUGAAGAAAAUACAAGAUGGGGUAAAGAAGUAAGUAUCAUCCUAUUACUAUACUAGUCCAUAUAUAUUUUUAGGCACGUUAAAUAAGCGGGUUGAACUGAAUUAAAACGGCUAAAAUGAGUUAAGUCAUUAACUCAUUCAAGAUUAAAAUAAGCCGAAUUAACUCAUUCAAGAUUAAAAUGAGCUGAGUCAAGAUGGAAUACAUAAUAAAUCAUAAUCGAACCUGAUGACUCUUUUUAUGUUUAAUUAUAUCAAAUAAAACUAACAAAAUUCCUUUUUUAUGAUCGUUUAUAACAGGUAUCAAAUAAUAAUAAUAAUUGCUUAGCCCAAUUUUUGGUAUGACUAAAUUGAGUGGGUCAAAAGAGAUAAAUUAGAUGUGUGAUAUAUUUAUGACCUUAUUUUGACACUUGUGUUAAAUUAUGUGAUUAUUUCGUCUAAAAGCUUAAACUGUUGUUUUCAGAUAGGGUACUCAUACAAUAGUUUACUAGAGAGCUCAUACACAGGCUAUCUCUUGCAUUCUAAGGGGUGGAAAUCAGUAUAUCUUUACCCAAAGAGGCCAUGUUUUCUUGGUUGUAGCACCAUUGAUAUGAAAGAUGCUUUGGUCCAACUCAUGAAGUGGGCUUCUGGGCUAGUACAAGUUGGACUUUCAAAAUACAGCCCAUUUACUUAUGGGCUCAUGUCAAAAAUGCCUUUAGUCCAAAACAUGUGUUAUGGAUACUUCAUGUUCUCACAUUUCCUCUCCAUUCCUUGCUUCCUCUAUGGCAUUGUUCCACCUUUGUGCUUCUUGAGUGGCACUCCACUGUUUCCCAAGGUAAAAACUUAAUUUUAUCACUCACACAUAAGUAUCUUUCAAAGUAUAAUAUUAUUAAAAAUUCCGAUUUUGCAAGUCGAAAUGGACAUAUGAGUGAUUGAUUACUAAAGAAAGAAAGGUCAAUCUUCAAAAGGCUUGAUGGGACGAAUUUCCUCAAACUAUAGUGGUGAUUAAUGAAAUUACUAGUUUAUUUUUUUGUUUAACCAUCUGGUAUCCGAAACUUAACGGUGCGGCUUAAGUUAGUUUAUGUUACAUACGGCCCACUAAAGAGGAAGCAUCCCCUACUAUAAAUUUCUUAAGACUCGAAUUCAAGACCUUUAAUUAAAAUGAAUUUUAUCUAUACCACUACAUCCUUGUUGGUAUACUAAUUGUAAAUUAAAUAAGAGUUAGUGUCAGUCGUGUGUGAGACACAAAAUAAUGAUUUUUUUUUUGAAAAAUUCAUGUACAUAACUUAUUCAAUUGUCUUUAUUUAUUAUUUACAGGUGACAAGCCCAUGGUUUGCUUUAUUCACAACCAUAUUCUUAUCAUCUCUAUCUCAACAUUUAUAUGAAGUCAUGUCUAGUGGUGGCAACUUAAGAACAUGGUGGAAUGAACAAAGAAUUUGGAUAAUAAAAACAGUCACAGCUUGCUUAUUUGGAUGCUUAGAUGUUUUAAUGAAGUGGUUAGGUGUUGCAAAGGCAAAUUUCAGGUUAACAAACAAAGCUAUAGAUGAAGAGAAAUUAAGGAAACAUGAAAAGGGUAAAUUUGAUUUCCAAGGUGCUAAGUUAUUUAUGGUUCCUUUGACAUUUUUAGUGGUGUUUAAUGUGAUAUGUUUCAUAUUUGGAAUGAAAAGAUUGGUCUUAGAGAGGAACUUUGAGGAGAUGUUUGGACAAGGUUUCCUUUCUUUUUAUGUUUUAGUUCUUAGUUAUCCUAUAUUAGAGGGUUUAGUAGUAUCAAAGAAACAAAAGUAAAAAAAUGUUUUCUUGAAAUUUGUGUAUAUCAUGUAUAAAUAAUGUUGUGACAUCAAUAUAAAUGUUUUUGCUUUCAGUUUGUUGCAUUAUUAAUUCACCUUUCAUCUUGAUUCAUAAUCAAGAAAAACGGGAACUAAAGCACAUAUUUUUAUUUUUUUUUAAAGAAUUUUGAAAGAUAUCAAUCUUUCGUUAUGUAAAAAGAUAUCUCUUUUUUUUUAAUCUCCAAAAAUUAAGAGAGAAAAUAGUCUACUUGGAUGGAUGGUUUAAUUUUUAAAAAUUACAAAAUCUACUAUUGAAAAGAUUACCUGUGGUGAUCUGGUUGUGUAAUUUUAUUUUAUUUUACACUACUUAUAUAUGUAAGUUAAAGUUAAUGGGAUCUAUUGAUCGAUAUGUCUUGUCUUAGCCCACUAGUAUCUUUCUCUUUGGGAGAUAAUAGAUAAAUCAUAUUGCAAUAAUCAUGUGACACGUUUAUUAUGGAGAUGUGAUAAUUAUGUAAAUUUAUUCAAAUAUUGUAUUCAUCAAAAUAAUACAGUACGAGAUAAUUCAAUACAACGAAACCAUACAUAAGCUUCAACUUAUCAACACAAAAGCUUCAACCCUUUUUUAACUCCUUCAUCAAUAGCUUUCUCCCCUUUGAAUUUUAUCUUUUCACUCAAUUCCAUUGCCUUCAAAUUAACUUGUUUCCUAGUGUUAUCCUCUACCACUUUCUUUAUUCCUUUUGCCACCUCUUCUUUCAUUAUUUCUCCAUUUUCACCUCUCAAAAUCUCCACCCCUAUGCCAAGUUCCUCCACUAAUCUUGAAUUCAAUGGUUGAUCAUGAUUCAUAGGCAUGGCUAUUAAUGGUAUGCCAAAACUCAUGCUUUCUAACAUCGAAUUCCAUCCACAAUGAGUUACAAAACCUCCAAUACUUGAAUGGUUCAAAAUUAGACUUUGUACUUUCAAGAAAACCUUGUGGAACCAUUUCUUCAAUUGUUUUGUUCACCCCUUUAGGAAAUUUGAUUGUCCAAAUAAAAUUAACUUUGCUUAGCUCAAGCCCUUUUGCUAUCUCUUCAAUUUCUUGCUUUGACAAGAAGCUUUCACUUCCAAAUGAUACAUAAACACAUGAUAAUUGAUCCUUCUUGUCUAGCCAAGAUUGAAUUGUCCCCCAAUCCUCCUCCUCAUCUAUCAUCGCCUCGCGAAUUAAUGGUCCAAUUGGUAUCAACUCUUUCUUUCCUAUUGUAGAAACAUAAUCUAUAUACUUCCCCUCAGUCUCCCUACAAGUGUUCAACAAAACAAUGUUGUGAGAUUGUUCAAAAGACUCAAGGAUUAUGUAUGCAAAAGCUUUCUCAUCGCGUGGUUUUAUUGGUUGUAUGCCUAAUUUCUUGAUCUCAUGGUCAUGAAGGUAUAUGGAAGAAAAUGGAAAAGAUGUAAGGCUUGAACUCCCAUGAAGAAAUUGGUGGUAAAUGUAGGCAAGACCAGAAGUUGAAGAAACAUAAAACAUAAUAGCAUGAAUACUGUAUGAUGAAGCCAUAGUUGCUACCCAUGGUUGGAACCCAUCAUAUAUAAUCAAGUUAGGUUUUAGGGUUUCAAUUAUGCUUGGAAAUUUGGAAGAAGCCAUUUGAAAGGCUUGAAUAAGAGUGGAGUUGAGAUGGGGAGGGAGGUCUUUAGUUGUAUGGUAAUGAGGUGGUAACUCAUGCAAAUAAGGCAAGUGAAAUUCAACAAGUUGUAUGGAUUGAUUAUAAUUAGUUGAGUUUUUAUCUAGGGUUUCCUUGAUAGAUUUGAGA
rnacentral:lncRNA from 1 species